UACGUAGGGACCAAGCGUUGUUCGGAUUUACUGGGCGUAAAGGGCGCGUAGGCGGCGUGGUAAGUCAGCUGUGAAAUCUCCGAGCUUAACUCGGAACGGUCAGCUGAUACUGCUGUGCUAGAGUACAGAAGGGGCAAUCGGAAUUCUUGGUGUAGCGGUGAAAUGCGUAGAUAUCAAGAGGAACACCUGAGGUGAAGACGGGUUGCUGGGCUGAUACUGACGCUGAGGCGCGAAAGCUGGGGGAGCGAACGGG
rnacentral:rRNA from 1 species